UACGGAGGGGACUAGCGUUGUUCGGAAUUACUGGGCGUAAAGCGCGGGUAGGCGGAUUUGCAAGUCGGGGGUGAAAGCCCGAGGCUCAACCUCGGAACUGCCCUCGAUACUGCAAAUCUCGAGUCCGAGAGAGGUGAGUGGAAUUCCUAGUGUAGAGGUGAAAUUCGUAGAUAUUAGGAAGAACACCAGUGGCGAAGGCGGCUCACUGGCUCGGUACUGACGCUGAGGCGCGAAAGCGUGGGGAGCAAACAGG
rnacentral:rRNA from 1 species